rnacentral:misc_RNA from 1 species
UAGGUAAAAGUCUCUCUUUUGCUUGCUGGGUCAUUGAAGGGUUCUUUGGUUGAGCUUUGAGCUUUUUUUUAUUAGAGGAAAAGCUAAAUUUUUGGUUAAAGGAUUGUUGUUUGGUUUAUGGGUUUCUUUCCAACCUUGUUGGAGUGAGAAAUAGCAGUAAGUUUUGCCCUAUGUAUUUUUCUUUUUCAAAUUAUUAGUUAUUCAUACUUUUAUGUCUAUAUGGUUUGGGUUAUUUUCAUUGUUUGCUGUUUGGUUGCUUAAAGUUGCAGAAGAGAAAAUAAAAUAUGCCCUUCUGGUUUUUACGGACCAAAGACAGCAUAUGUAGUAUUUGAAGAUUAUGUUAAUUUGUAUUGCCUUGAUUGGCAAUGUUGGGUUUUCUUAUCAGCUGUUGAUUGUCAUAUAGUUGGACUGGCUUUCUGGUAAUCUGGGUUUCGUUAAUUUGUCUGUUUAUGGGUAUGAAUUGUAUGGAUUAGAAUUAGUACCGAAUUUUUAACUGCGCAAUUCAUAAUGGAAAAUUAGAACUUUGAUGAAUCCUCAUUUUCUUGUAGAUGUAAUAAUAAUUUUUACAAAAUUUUUGGGUAAAUUGGCAGUUUGUCUGUCUCAGUUUUGCUUGAUCUAUUAGCUUGUAAGGGAAUCAUGUAAUGCGUAAAUAAACUGGGAAUGGAUAUGUACACAAAUUAGGUGGAUAUCAACAUCAGUAACAAAUGGUAGAUGAAACAUAACCUAAUUACCAUAAUUUGGGAAAGUAUUACCAAUCCCAAGUUCUUACUUGACAAUAAUCCUAAUCUAGAAUAUUUUGACUGAUGAGAUGUACUAGUUUUGAUUUGGUUUGUGACAAUACGCAAUACGCUCUCUGUUGGACCAUGUUGGCUUUAAUUUAAAGGAAUUUUUUCCCCUUGGUACCUUGAUGCAAUAAGAGAUAUAAAGACUAGGGAUAUCACAUCGAUCAUUGAGAUAAAUGGCUUGUAUAAUUUGAAGGUUCAAGUUCAGGGUGAAGCAUUAUUGGACAUGUAUCAACUUUUCUUAAAAACUUGUGUCCAGCUUUCCUUGUUUAUGAUAGAAGUUUAACUUGAGUUCCUUAUUUAAAAUGUCAUUUUGUUGGAUUUUUUUGGUGGAGAACUGAAUUGCCCUUUUUUAUUUGUAUUUUUUAGUUGUCUAAUGUAUGUUAUGUUGUUAGAGGUUAAAUGUGUUUUUGUUUGGGGAUGUUAGGAUUAGCAAUUUUUUUAUUUGCAAAUGUGCAUGCUUUGACUUAUUCUUCUUCUUCUUCUUCAAAAUACAUCUAUUCGUAUUCGGAUAAGGUAUGACUAUUUUUUGUAAAUAGAACUGUGAAAUUUCAUAAUCAAAAGUCUUAUAUCUUCCAUUUGGUGCAUGGAUGAUGGAUGUCUGAAUUCUUCAUAGAGUGCAAAUUCUGUUGUUAUUGAGGAGAACACAAUUAUGUGUUUUUGUGUAAUAUUGUUUAAUGCACCUAGGUCUGCCUUGUAAUAGAUAUUGUCAAUGGAGUAGAGCAUGCCAUUUUGUUCCAUUUUUCUUUUAACAUAACUAGCUUGCACCUUUUCUUCAUUUAGUUUUCUGUAUUCAAAACUGGAGCCAAGGGCCCUUUUUCAGUGGAAGGAGGAACAUAUGGCAUAAAAGGGGUUUCUCUUAGGACAUUGUGUAGUUUACUUCAUUUAUGCUCUCACUUCUUUGAUAAGGAUUAAAGAAUGUGUAAAAGUACUACACCUCUUGUUUUGUUGUACAAAGGUUUGGCUGUUGAACACAUGACAUGGUCCUAACAUUACCUCUAGUUGUACUAAAUGAACCAAUCUUAUUUGGCAAAAGGAAUGAUGCUUUGAUUGUUUAGGGACUUUAGGUGACAGUUGCUUGAUUAGUAUUUCCUGUGAAUACUAGUUAAGGAAGUCUAGAAUAUUGAAUUCAUUCUUAUGCUUCGCUAAUUAGACAAACAUAAUAUGUACUCUGGUAAACAUUCUCUUCUCUGUUAUGUCCUAGUGAGUAAGCAUUAUUUGGCAGUUCUCUUUUCGUAUUUGUUGAAUUAGGAAUAUCUAAAACAUAGCAUCUUGGCUUUUGAUGAUUGGUAUGGUUGUCUUUCCAUUUUGGCAUUUUUCUAUUUCUGAGUAUUCUCAAGUGUUUUGGUAUAUGCUGACAAAAUGUUUGAUUAUCAUUUUACUCCUAAAAUUUUAUGGUUUUGAUGCUAGUGUUGUGUCCAUGGUAGAAGGUUAUAGAUAGUCUCUUGUACCUCAUUUUUUGUCUUUUCUGCUUUUUUGUAACUUCUUUCUAGCUAAGGACCAUAUAAAUCUUACUAGGAACAAAUGGUAUAGUCUAUAAAUUUGCUUGGAAGAAUUUGUGAAUUACUAUUUUUCUCACCUAUAAUUUUCCUUUGAAAUUCUUUCUUACAAAACUUACUUUUAUUAAGAAGUAAUGGCUGUAACUUUUAACUCUUCAUUAAU